rnacentral:rRNA from 1 species
UGAGGAAUAUUGGUCAAUGGGCGAGAGCCUGAACCAGCCAAGUAGCGUGCAGGACGACGGCCCUAUGGGUUGUAAACUGCUUUUGCGCGGGGAUAAAGUGCGCCACGUGUGGCUCAUUGCAGGUACCGCGCGAAUAAGGACCGGCUAAUUCCGUGCCAGCAGCCGCGGUAAUACGGAAGGUCCGGGCGUUAUCCGGAUUCAUUGGGUUUAAAGGGAGCGCAGGCCGCCCCUUAAGCGUGUUGUGAAAUGCCGCGGCUCAACCGUGGCACUGCAGCGCGAACUGGGGGGCUUGAGUGCGCGCAGCGCAGGCGGAACUCGUGGUGUAGCGGUGAAAUGCUUAGAUAUCACGAAGAACUCCGAUCGCGAAGGCAGCCUGCGGGAGCGCAACUGACGCUGAGGCUCGAAAGUGCGGGUAUCGAACAGG